AUUGGGUAUUUUUGCCUUUGUGAACGGAAUACGGUGAAAAUCCGUAGUGGUCCCGCCGCUGUAAUCGAGGCGUAUCAAACAUGUCAAUUUUGGCGGCCACUGGCGGGGGGACCCGUACGGGAAGGCUGUUUGCUGCGAUUAUCCCGAGAGCCAGAAGACGAACAAAGGCAUAUAUCACGGA
rnacentral:ncRNA from 1 species